rnacentral:rRNA from 1 species
CCUACGGGAGGCAGCAGUAAGGAAUAUUGGACAAUGGUCGCAAGACUGAUCCAGCCAUGCCGCGUGCAGGAUGACAGCCCUAUGGGUCGUAAACUGCUUUUGUGCGAGAAAAAAACCCCCUCUACGUGUAGAGGGCUGAUUGUAUCGUAAGAAUAAGGAUCGGCUAACUCCGUGCCAGCAGCCGCGGUAAUACGGAGGAUCCAAGCGUUAUCCGGAUUCAUUGGGUUUAAAGGGUGCGUAGGCGGAAUGAUAAGUCAGUGGUGAAAGCCUGCAGCUUAACUGCAGAACUGCCAUUGAUACUGUCAUUCUUGAGUACAUUUGAUGUGGGCGGAAUGUGUCAUGUAGCGGUGAAAUGCUUAGAUAUGACACAGAACACCGAUUAGCGAAGGCAGCUCACAAAACUGUAAACUGACGCUGAGGCACGAAAGCGUGGGUAUCAAACAGGAUUAGAUACCCUGGUAGUCCACGCUGUAAACUAUGAUUACUCGAAUGUUUAGCGAUACACUGUAAGCGUCCAAGCGAAAGCGUUAAGUAAUCCACCUGGGGAGUACGGCUCGCAAGAGUGAAACCGUUNAAAAGGAUUAGGAGGG